GCUGCAAGCAUCGCCAGCCUUUUAUGUAGGUCACGUCUUUGUUUUUGUGUCAUCGCAUGCUUGGGGCACUACAAGACAGAAAAACAGGUACCACGGUUUUAUCUUUUUCCUCUACCCUCUUCUGCCCUAGGUACGUGACCUAGAUUAGUUUGCGAGCAAAAAUUAUGGAGCUCACAAAUGGGAAAGCUGCAGGUACUCUAUGCUUACUGCCUUUAUGGACGCACAGACCUAAAGCUCUCUAAAGGGGCUCACAAAUCCACAUGGGGUUCCUAAAUGCUGCAUCCUGCAUUUGGGUCAUUGGUUAGCUGAGAGCAGUUCUGAAGUCACAUACAGGCUAACAGCUUCCUUUUGGCUAGGUAGGAGAGAAACAUCAUUGAUGUGUUUAUUCCAAGCUUUGUAUGGGAUAUAGAAGAAGAGCUCACCCAGAUGUGUUUGUUUGCUAGAACCCAGCCGUGGAGGAGAUCUGCACAGGAGUGAGGGACAUAGUAACAGCCCUUGCAAGGACAGCGUCUUCCCCUCUUGUGGAGCCCAUCUGUCAUCACAGUGCUGCCAUAACCAACGGGCUCCUCUGCAGUCUUGAUCCCCGGUCAGCCUGGCAUGCACCGUGGUAACAAGUGAACCUUCCCCAUCCUUGCUCAGCUCCAUCGCAUGCACUGCAGGUAGCAUGUAAGCAGCCAGCUGAACUCAGCAGGGCCCAGAGUGAGCAGGGAAACGAUUCCAAGGCAACAUCUCACAUGCCACCAUACAAGAAAGCAAACUUUCCAGAGAUGUAGGAUAUGUCACCGACCCUGGUGGUGUUUAAAGAGCGUUUGGAUGUUGUGCUAAGGGACGUGGUUUAGUAGGAACCAUUGGUGAUUGGUGAAGGGCAAACGGUUGGACUGGAUGAUCCUGUGGGUCUUUUCCUACCUUAGCGAUUCUAUGAUUCUAUGUCCCUCACCCAACAGCAGCACAACGUUCUGCGUUCUGCAGGCCUGCAUUACGCCCUCACCCUGCUGUCCCCUGCCCCUGUGGUUUGCUUCAGCUGUGGAAACAGGAACUGCUGAGUCAGCGUGCUGGUGUAACUCACACUGCUCUCAUGGGGAGAGGGCUGCAGCGAGGGGGCUGGCAGCAGCUCACAGCCUGCAGGAAAACAAGUACUUACAUUCUCUUGCAGUGGCCUGAAAAAAUAAAUAAUCUCUUUGCUUAAAAACUCAAAGAGGUAGCAAGAACCCGAAGUGUAAGUGUGAGGGGAAUGAUCAGAUCUGGCAGAUGUGCGCUGACGAUCAAGCAUUUAGAGUUUGGCCAAUGUCAUUUUUCUGUUUGCUCUGUUAACAGCCCAGUUAUGCUUGAAGAAGCCAAGAUGCAGCUGGCUGAACAGGCAGAACAAGGCCAUCACAUUUGGCUCAUCUGCCUGGUGCCGAUAGAGAGCAGGAGCCUGUUCUGACUACGGACUCGUGCAGAGGUGAAAUUGCUCCCUUGGAACCAGUACAAGGUGCACCACGAGUGGAAGAAGCUGCCGGAAUCCAUCUAAAGAGCACUGCUAAUCGGGGCUGCUUUGAGGUGCCUUGUAAGCAAAGGCAAUGACGUGACGGCCUUCAGAAGCCACGGCCUGUGGUAUAUUUUGGGAACGCGGCUUUUGAGAUUCUCUGGAAGUGAUAUCAGUGGUGCGUAGAUGACACAAACAGCUGGCUCCACUUCCGAAGGGAGCACUUGCCAGCAACCAAAGACCCUCCUUGUAUGCGCAGGAGGAAGCGGAGCCCAGAGGCACUGAAACCACGCCAGCUCUGCUGAAGGUAACACUUGAUCUGCAGAGGAGCCACCGGGAACAUGAGACUCCAACCGGAGCCAUUUCACACGCUGCUGGAACGUGGCCACAGGAACAAACACUGUGGUGUAAAUUCUGCCUGGGUGAAGGAGAGGCCAGAUUAUUGUCCCACGGAGGCCCCUCCCCACCUGCAGGCUGUCACCACUGGGCAUCCAGUGCUAAACAGCAAUACGAAAGGUGAAGAACUGAUCCUGAAUUGUCCAUUUAAAAGCUGUGCGAGCUGCAAAAAUUGAGAUGAAAGAGGGGGUUAAUUGCACUGAACGUGCUCGGAGGAGGCAGAGCUAGGUUUUCCUGUGGAAAACUGCCAUAUGUGACUCUGCACGCAUUUAUCCUUCCUUUGGCUUGUAAUGUGGAAAAAGUCAGUAAUCACAGCAGCUCGUGAUGCGUCUCACUUGCAGGGACUGCUUGUGGCAUACAUGGAUCGACACAAAUCCUUAUCAAAACUGGAAUUAUUAUCUGCAAGUCACACUUCAGGCUUCUCAAAUAAAACGCCAUCUGAAUUCUGCAGCUGCGCUACCUUCUGGCUUUUCAUAAGCAAGGCAGGCCGUUUAUCCCUGUGGGAAGGUGCCCGAGCAGGGGACAGGAGGAACGUGUUAUGGAGCUGCUUACAGCUCUGGAAACUGCUUUGCUACUCAUGCGCCAUCUCUGUGGCUUCACACACCCCGUUAAGAAAACCUUAGCACUGCCACUUUUCUCUCUCCUCUUUCUCAAACUGAGAUUCAUUUACCACCUCUGACAAUUACAUGUUACUCCUUAAUGACCACAGCACGGGCAGGAGACUGUCCCCAGCUAAAGCCAAAACAGGGUUUGGAGUGUUUUUGUGAGGCCUGGGUAACUGAAGGGAAAAAAUGGAAAGAUGUAGCAGUAUGAAAGCAAGGAAUGAAUCACGCGCAAAGAAUGCCUUACAUUACUGGAUUCUUGGUCUGACUUCAUCGUUUCCGCAAUGUAUUUGAUUCCCUCUAUAGCGUUUUUCACAUCUGGAUUUUUGGUAAGUGGGGAGUAGAAGUUGACAGGCACAGGACCUUGCUUCCCGGAAAUUUCAGAGAUAUCAAUAUCUUCUGCAAAAAUUUUCUUGUCUGGUUUAUCCCUGGAUGGUCGUUUCAUUGUAGAGAAAAACAUGAUGUUUGGGAUGGUGUCAAUAAAGAUCUGG